UACGUAGGGUGCGAGCGUUAAUCGGAAUUACUGGGCGUAAAGCGUGCGCAGGCGGUUUUGUAAGUCAGAUGUGAAAUCCCCGGGCUUAACCUGGGAACUGCGUUUGAAACUACAAGGCUAGAGUGUGGCAGAGGGGGGUGGAAUUCCACGUGUAGCAGUGAAAUGCGUAGAGAUGUGGAGGAACACCGAUGGCGAAGGCAGCCCCCUGGGCCAAUACUGACGCUCAUGCACGAAAGCGUGGGGAGCAAACAGG
rnacentral:rRNA from 1 species